GGCGGGGCUGGAGGACCAACAAUGCUAGCAAUGGCUGGAGAGAACCUGAAAAAGUUAAUCGUCUGUCACUCACACUCCCUGCCGGGUUUGCAGCAUGUGCCCGUCUGUUUGCUUUGAGCUCUGAGGGAAUUCUGUGAUCCCAGCGGAGAUCUUUGCUGUUUUUAUUUCCCAUCCUCUCCAAUUAAUGUUAAUCCAGAUUUCAGCACGUUCCAGCAGUUAAUGGUCAAAACAUCUCCUCCCAUAAUGUUUUGAUGACUAGUUAGGAGUCUGAAUUUUCUAUCAUUGCCACUGAAGAAGUCUAAUCGAUAGCUGAAACAUGUGUGGCAUAUGGGGCACGACUCUGAACUGGACUUCAUUCCUCCAGAGUUCCAUAGGAAGCUUUUACUGGCACCCUUCACCAACAUUAAAAAGGCCUCUCAGUGCAAUGCUACAUCCUUCCCAGCUCAAAACUCUCACAUCAGCCCUAGUCCACAGCAGUGCCCCCAUUUUCAUCUCUCAAGAAGUUAAGAUCACUGGCAUAAUUGGGAAGCAGCAGGAGAUGCCCGCAAACGGGUGAGAAUAAUGAUGGAAACAGCCCUCUCGUUUUUUGUGUUAAUGGAGCAGGGGGAGACCAACUGGCCUUAUCCAUCCCCAGCACAGCAUCCUUCCAGUAACUACUGCUGGUGCCUACCUUGUAUUUCUUUUCAGAUUGUGAGCCCUUUGGGGACAAGGUAGCAUCUUAUUUAUUUCUAUGUCAACCGCUUUGAGAACUGUGGAAAAGCAGUAUAUAUUCCAAGAAGAAGAAGAAGAAGAAGAAGAAGAAGAAGAAGUAGUAGUAGUAGUAGUAGUAGUAGUAGUAGUAGUAGUAGUUUUGGAGGGAAAGGAGAGAUGUGAAAACCACUCCCUCUUCCCCUCCACACUGGUCCACUGUACAUGAUGACUUCAUUGCAGGGUUACUGGAGGCUCCUUGAGGGCCUCACCAGAAGUCUUAGGCUCAUGUGGGCCACCAUUAUUAUUAUUGCCAUUGAUGUACAUGGCACUUAACAGAGUUUCAUACCCCCCUAGGCAAAGCUUCUAGU